rnacentral:rRNA from 1 species
UAGGGAAUCUUCGGCAAUGGACGAAAGUCUGACCGAGCAACGCCGCGUGAGUGAAGAAGGUUUUCGGAUCGUAAAACUCUGUUGUUAGAGAAGAACAAGGACGUUAGUAACUGAACGUCCCCUGACGGUAUCUAACCAGAAAGCCACGGCUAACUACGUGCCAACAGCCGCGGUAAUACGUAGGUGGCAAGCGUUGUCCGGAUUUAUUGGGCGUAAAGCGAGCGCAGGCGGUUUCUUAAGUCUGAUGUGAAAGCCCCCGGCUCAACCGGGGAGGGUCAUUGGAAACUGGGAGACUUGAGUGCAGAAGAGGAGAGUGGAAUUCCAUGUGUAGCGGUGAAAUGCGUAGAUAUAUGGAGGAACACCAGUGGCGAAGGCGGCUCUCUGGUCUGUAACUGACGCUGAGGCUCGAAAGCGUGGGGAGCAAACAGG